UGGGGAAUAUUGCACAAUGGGCGCAAGCCUGAUGCAGCCAUGCCGCGUGUAUGAAGAAGGCCUUCGGGUUGUAAAGUACUUUCAGCGGGGAGGAAGGCGAUAAGGUUAAUAACCUUGUCGAUUGACGUUACCCGCAGAAGAAGCACCGGCUAACUCCGUGCCAGCAGCCGCGGUAAUACGGAGGGUGCAAGCGUUAAUCGGAAUUACUGGGCGUAAAGCGCACGCAGGCGGUCUGUCAAGUCGGAUGUGAAAUCCCCGGGCUCAACCUGGGAACUGCAUUCGAAACUGGCAGGCUAGAGUCUUGUAGAGGGGGGUAGAAUUCCAGGUGUAGCGGUGAAAUGCGUAGAGAUCUGGAGGAAUACCGGUGGCGAAGGCGGCCCCCUGGACAAAGACUGACGCUCAGGUGCGAAAGCGUGGGGAGCAAACAG
rnacentral:rRNA from 1 species